UGCCUUGGACUUACUGAUUCUUUAGGAGCUGUACAUGAAGCUGUUCCGCAUUUAAGCACUCAGAGGCAUUUGUCUCCUUAAACAAGGCAUUAUAAUCAUUCCUUUUGUAGCCUACUAAAAUAAGAUUCCAGAAAAACUCCUCUCCAAAUAAGGAUAAACAACACGGUGGCUCGAUCACAGCAUUCUGCCAGAACAAUCACACUUAUAAUCUUAGCACUGACAGUAUAUUUAGCAAUCACAGUUACAAUUACUUUGGUCUCAUUUCACAAUAUCCUCAGGAUGAUGAUUCUGACAAUGUUACAGAGAAAUCAGGAACAGUUCCCAGAGACACAGCCACAAACCGGCAGUGCAGACCAAGGAACAAGAAAAGCAAGCAGAAGCCUUUUUAUAGGAAGAACAUCCUUGAACAGAACCUACAGUUUGAACACACUUAUCUGGGAGUGCUUUUUCCUGAGAUGUGACUGAAAGAACACUAGGAAGGAGCUGGAAGGCUUUCUGCAGGACUUCUUGCUAGGACACACCGCUCUGGUACAGAAGUUAGAGCCUGUCUGCACACAAUUAACAGUUAAUGUGACUUUGUACUCAUCUUGGCAACAGUGCCUGUACUUCAGGAAGAAAAAAGCAAGAAAAGCAGCACGCUGCGCUUCUAUACCUGGUGGGAACAUCACCCAGAGAAAACCAUCUCACAACUACUGCUUUUAAGUGGACCUCUCAAUAGAAGGAAGAAAAGGAUUCCGUCUCUGAGACACGGCCAUGGACACCCUUGCUCCUCAGCAGUGGGACAGCCUUGCAGAGCGCACAGAAUCAGGAAAACAACUUGAACCUAAAGUAAAAAAUCUAUUCCGCAAACAAGUCCUUCAAGAGCCCACCAACACCCAUCAGUCGUGCAGAAAAUUUAGAAGUGGAUAGAAGUGUUCUUGAAACUCAGAAAACAUUGUCAAUCUGUGACAGACUUUACCAAAACAGAAGGGCACAGCAGCUCUACUUGUUCGAUAGGCAUCCAAGUUGUCAGUACCCAGAGAUACUCGCAGCUGGUUAAGAAUGUAGGCACUUACCUACAGAGAAAAAACAAACGAACAAAAAAAAACAACAUUAGGCAGAGCUAAAACUUCAGGAAAAGCUUUGCUUUUUAAAUGCUGAAAUUUCAUUGGACAUACAUUGUAAAUUGUAAUUAUAUAGAUUACAUAGCAUAAAUACUUUUUAUCUUAAGUUUUCACGCAUUCAGAUAUCACGCAUUAAUAUACCAUUAAUGGAUGUUUUUCAGAAAAGGUAACCCAUUUCUAGACAUUCAAGAGGAUAACCAUCACAGCUUUCAGCAAUGCUUUGUUAACACUGCCAAACUGAGGUUUAUUAACUCCUUGUUCACCAGCUGGCACGGGGAGCCCAGACCUUAAGAAAUCCAUGUAUAUCUGCCAAGUUUAACUUUAAUAGAUGAGGUUCCAAUUCAGAGGGAAAUUUAGAUCACCCCUUUUAAAACAGCAGUGCCAUCUCAUCUGGAAGUCUCAUCCGAAGAGUGCAGUUCUGUAUGCUCAGGAGCAGCACCAACAGCUUAGUGUUAUGAGGUACUGAAUAAAAUGUAGAGAAAAAAAAAAAAGGAAAGAAGAAUGGGGAGAUGUCUUGAAGACAGAAGAUGUAUAAAACAAUCUGAAUUAUUUGCUCAACCUGUUUAUUUCUAUUGCUUGGAAAGAGCUCCCUCAUAACAUGGGCUUGGAGGGAGGGGCUCAGUAGCUGUGGUUUCUAGCCACUAAUCUUCCUAUUCAGGACAGAAUUUAAGCACAGACUUAAGUCCCAAUGACAUCAGCUGGACUUCAGCUGUGUGAAGUUAAACAUCUGUGUAAGUGCUGCCCAGCAGGGCAGCCAAACAGUUGUGGAGCUCUCAUGUAUUUCUCGCCCAAACAAGCUAAUAUUUCUAUAUUUCUAAGUUUUUUUUUUAUUUUAUUUUUUUAAAUCCAAUACUAUUUUUAUCCUUCUAAGCCUUCGGGACAAAUGCUAUACAGACUUUCUAGUCUUGCAGAGUGCAAUUUAUAAAGAUUAAAGAUUAACAUUUAUAGAAAAAUGCCUUUCCAUAAUACUGUAGAGAUGCCAUAAAAAGUAAUACUUUUCAUUAUAAUACCACUUUAUGGUACACGAGAGCUUUAGUACCCCACAGGUCUUUUCCUUCUCAGUAUCUAGAGGGGAAAGAAUAGAUUGCAAAAAGUAGAUGCUUCUUUCUUUCUUUUUCCAGAUCAGCAAAUAUUAUAUUCAAUCCCUUCAAGGUGAGCUUUGUUGUGAAGAGAGAUAAGGCCCAAAGCAGAGCCAAGGUUUGAAGAAAAUUAGUCAUUGUAUAUGCAUUUUUAUCUGUUUUGACAAUGUAGAAUUUUAAUGAAGGAAUGCUACAAGGAUUCUGCACUGAAACAAGCAGUUUAAUUCUUUCUGUAAUUCAGAAAGCAAGUUUAAGUAAUGACUUUAUAAUUUUUAAUUAUCAUGGAAGAAUCCUUUUUCUGUUCUUUUUCUUUACUGCUCCAGUGUAUCUCAGAAAUUUAAUUUUCAUUUUCAACUCAGGCAAUAAUAUUUUUCAUUAUUUUGCAAAUAAAAAACCCACAUUACAAUGAACAAAUUAGAGAUGGGCACAUGCACAGAACGGCACCACCUAGAAAAUACUUGUUUCUGAUUUGAAUUGAAGCAACUUUUAGAGUCUUGCAAUACUGGUAACAAGUGUGUCUCAGCCUUUACUCUGAUGUCAGCUAUCCACAUGCUGUCAGUGCCUUCAGCUGCAAACCGUCUCUGUGCUCGUCCUUCAUGCUGCACUACAGGGGAUCCAUGACCACUGUACCUACUCUGCACCUCAGUGAAAACACAAAAAGUUGGGAAUUCCAGCUGCUCUGGGGAUGGCUGACCUGGCCCAGGAAGAUCGUCAAGUGACUUACUGGGUUUAUGGCAUAAUCAAUGGGACAAAUAUUUGCUACCAUUUAGGCUACAGCAGUUGCUGAGCGGCCGAUACAAUCUACCCUGAUGGUGAAGUCAGUGGGAGUUGUGUGGAUUUGCUUUCAGACUUGGGCACAGAUCAUUUGUUUGACAUGUACCUACUCAAUAAAUCCUGAUCACUUUGGCAAUUUGUUUGUAUCUGUUUGAGUGGAUCUCCAGCAGAAAAUCUACAACAUGCAUCACUUCAUCUCUGCUCAUGGAGAAGUUAGAGUUUAGUACAAGCAUUCAAAAACCUCCCGUCUAAUUAUCUGCAAUGUGUAGCCUUACUUUUAUAUAAAUGUGGCACUUGCCAUCAAAAUGCCACAGCCAUAAAAAAUAGAACUGCCUCCAAUACAUACGACCUAUUACCACCACAGCUCAGGUUAUUUCCUCGGAAGAAAAUGAAAAACUCCAUUUGAAACUCACUUAACAGCCAGUUCAUACAGAAAGCAACUCCAUAAAGGCGAGAAAGAAUAAUGACACAUUUGUGAAGAAGUUGCAAAAAUUCAAAUGCAAGAUUUAUCCAGAGCUUUGCUACUCCAAUCCUCUUAGAGAGUUUAUAAAAUAAUGCCCUGUGCAAACUGGGGAAAAAAAAAAAUAAUUCCACCCACUACCCUGUAAAUGCAAAACCAAAUGAAAUUUGCCUUAUAAAAGAAAAACAAAUUAAACCGAAACUAGCAGGCCUAGCGGGUCUGUAACUCACUAGGAACAGCCCCUACGUCCCUAAGGAACAGCCUGGUGAUAUACUACGCCGAGCUACGAAAUGUGCAGACAGAGGGAGUAGAGACUGCAACCAGCCGAACAUUUUCAAAUCCAAAAAAUGAUUCUUUUUUCCUCCAUUUCACUUGAACACUUCGAUUGGCUUCGAUAGUUGUCUCCUCUUAGCAGCCUGCCCCACUGGCACCUCUGUGUCAGAUCAAAACUCAGAUCCGUGCUGUUUAUAAAAACAACUCCAGGACCACAUUUGAGCUUUUUCUUCUUCAACAGAGCUCAACCACAGACUCAGAAGCGAAAAAACAAACACAUCCUGGUCGAGCAGAGAAGCUGCUGUGCAUGACGCGUUAUUGAGACAAACCCCAGCAGGACAAGCAGCUGUGUGGAACACAGUGGGCUCAGGCUGAAGCAGGGCUAUAAACAUUGGAGUGGAGUUUACAGUCCAACAGCAGCAGCAGCGGUGCUGAACACCUCCUCCCAGAUGUGCCCAGCCUGACUCGGGCUUGUCAGCCUGCAAACUUGCAUAAGGAUAGGUGUGCAGCAUCCAGGAUUACCCCUGAGAUGAGCAGAACGCUCAGCCAUUUGGGGAGGAUUGCUAAAGUGGUAGGGCAAAGUUAGGCAGGCAGGGAUGGGGAAGCUUUUGCAGUCAGAGCACACACAGCAAAUCAGCUGUAUGUGAAAAACAAUCCCCUCGCAAAGGCUUAUAUUACUGCUUUAUAUAUGUACAAUAUGGAAAAUACUAGCUGCAUUUCCAAUUUUUAAUGCAUCCCAUGUUCACAGGGUACCUUAUUUUUGCUAAAAGGGAGUUUCUAGGCAAUGCUGCUAUCUGUACACCCUAAAACAUACAAUCAUUUUUACCAGCUGCAAUGAAUUGGAUAAUGGAUUUUAAGUCAGACUGCUUCUAGCUGCUGGGAUAAAAUAGGUCAAGAGAGCAGAAUACCCGGAGAAUAACUCCCACUGAUUGGAGUAAUGAGUAAAGCCACUGUUUGCACCCCGUGUUUUUCAAGCUGUCCUUCCAUUAAAUCACACAGCCCAGACAAGUGCAAAAACAGCAUGUGAUGCAGCCAUAAAGGUGUUCUGGCAUCUGAAAUCAGAGAUAAAAGCACAGGGGAAAGCAAAACUUUCAGACAUCACAUUCUCAACCAAAAAAAAAAGGGAAUCACCUCUAAAAUGAAAUGAAUUGA